AUUGAACGCUGGCGGCAGGCCUAACACAUGCAAGUCGAACGGUAACAGGAAGAAGCUUGCUUCUUUGCUGACGAGUGGCGGACGGGUGAGUAAUGUCUGGGAAACUGCCUGAUGGAGGGGGAUAACUACUGGAAACGGUAGCUAAUACCGCAUAACGUCGCAAGACCAAGAGGGGGACCUUCGGGCCUCUUGCCAUCGGAGGUGCCCAGAUGGGAUUAGCUAGUAGGUGGGGUAACGGCUCACCUAGGCGACGAUCCCUAGCUGGUCUGAGAGGAUGACGGGCCACAUUGGAACGGGGACACGGUCCAGACUCCUACGGGACGGAGCAGUGGGGUAUAGUGCACAAUGGGCGCAAGUCUGAUGCAGCCAUGCCGCGUGUAUGACGAAGGCCUUCGGGUUGUAAAGUACUUUCAGCGGGGGGGAAGGGAGUAAAGUUAAUACCUUGGCUCAUUGACGUUACCCGCAGAAGAAGCACCGGCUAACUCCGUG
rnacentral:rRNA from 1 species